rnacentral:tRNA from 1 species
GCCCCGGUAGCUCAGUGGUAGAGCUCCUGUAUUUGGUGAGCAAAAGAGCCUAGCAACAACUAGCAGUUGGUCGCAGAAUCCUGCCCGGUGGCU